rnacentral:lncRNA from 1 species
GAAAAGAGUAAUAAUGCGAGUUAGCAUAAUGCGGUACACCUGCACACCCGUUCACCAGGCGAGCUUGGCUGCCAGCUACGGGGAGAAAGCUCAGGUCCGAAGGCACAUCUUCAUUUCCAUCGCUGAUUGGACCUGGGAACCUCCAAGGCAGCCCUGUGGGAGCUGCAGAGGCCCUCAGGGGGCCCCAGAGGAAGACCCUGCCUGCUCAACGGGAGGGUGGCUCCAGAGUGACGCCAGGGGACCGAGUGUCAGCCGGGAAGGGACCAUAGGAAAACCCAUGAGUCAGCAGAAGCCUUGA